GCCUAGCAGGCUAAGUUGGUAGAGCGUGAGACUCUUGAUCUUGGGGUGGUGAGAUCGAGCCCCGUGUUGGGCC
rnacentral:tRNA from 1 species